GGCAUCUGUAAGAUGUCAUUCUCAAGUCUGACAAAUGAUGUCUUAUCUCCUCUAAUCUUCACAAACAUCUUUAGAAAGAUGUAUUAUUUAACCUUUUUUUUUUUUUUUUUUUUUUUGAGAUGGAGUCUUGCUGUGUCGCCCAGGCUGGAGUGCAGUGACGUGAUCUUGGCUCACUGCAACCUCCACCUCCCAGGUUCAAGCAAUUAUCCUGCCUCAGCCUCCUGAGUAGCUGGAAUUACAGGUGUGCACCACCACACCCUGCUAAUUUUUGUAUUUUUAGUAGAGACAGGGUUUCACCACGUUGGCCAGGCUGCUCUUGAAUUCCUGACCUCAGGUAAUUGGCCCACCUCAGUCUCCCAACAUGCUGGGAUUACAGGCGUGAGCCACCAUGCCCGGCCUAUUUCACAUUUUACAGAUGAGAAAACCAAGACUCAAAAAGGUUAAGUGAUGUGCCCAAAACCCACACAGUUAAUGAAAGGCAGAGCUGGAAUUUGAACUUGGCACAGGACUGACUCCAAAGCCUGUGGUUUCAACUCCAACUCCCAAAUGAGAAGCAGUGUACUCUAGAUGAUACCAUGCCGCUCCCAACCAAGUUCUCUCACUUUGCUUUUUACCUUUCAUUGCCAUCUGCCUAGCGGAACCUACACACCAUGGAGAUUUAGAGGGGCCCCAAAUAAGGGGGAGGGAUUCCAGACAUGGCGUUUGAGUCUCAGAGAGACCAGAAUUUAGAAGGGGUUAGAAUCUGUGUUCAGAACUGUUAUCGAUGAUUGCUAAGUUACCUUGUCAGUCACCUCAGUUUUUGCGACCUGGCCUGUGAACCUAACCACCCUUACAAUCUUGUUUUUAAAAAUACAUGUUGUGUAAGUUCCGAUAAACUUUUGAAACCAGCUCAAUGGCAACUCAACUGCCUGGAUUGAGAUUAGGUGUGGUUGGUGAGGAAUCAGCUGAGACACUGAUGGAGAAAAAAAUGCAUGAGUGCAUGAACGUGGAUUAUAACAGUGGCAGCAAACAGAGCAACCUGGCAGCUUUGUGGCCACACAAUGAUGGCUACAGUAUGAGGAGGGGAGAACAGGAUGGCUUUGGCAUAAGAACCAAGGGGAAAGGGCAGAUGCCAGGGGCGUUCCUUAGGAAAUGGCAGCAAGCCUGCUGAUAGAUGGAAUGCAUCGGAGUCCUUGGCAAAGUGGCUUCUAUUGAAUCUGAAAUUGUUUGGGCUUUUUUGAAAAUACUGGUGUUAAUCCAAGUCUGUUGUCACUGCGUUUUCAUUUCCUCUUCUCUCUUAUAUUUCUUGCUGCUCACAUUAGUCCUGAAUGGUUUACCUGCCAUUUUAUACAUAAGAAAAUAUUUUUAACCUCAGUGAGGUCACAUCCUAACAGUAUUAAUAGGCCUUUUGUUCAUUUUGAGUAAGGGAGAAAACUCCAUUUUUCACAUAGAUCUUCAUUAGACUUGAAUAGAAAAAAAUGAUUUGGUUUUCUCCUUUAAGAUUUAUUAAGCAUCAUAUAAUGCUACCAUUCAUCGGGUGUUCAAGUGAUUUUGAUACAGCAGGGGAUGAAGGAAACAUCCACUCCAAACUGCUUUUUAUCCUUUGCCUUUUAUUGUCCUCCUUCCGCACUACUGCCCCCGAAGAAAGUCACCCCACGAGUCAGUGAAAAUCUGCAGUGGAACCUUCCUGAAAUGGCACACAGCAUCUAUUCUCUUGCUCCAUGGCAAAUCUGUCAUCCAGUAGUUGGUCAUUUUUCUUCACCUAUAUAAUGAAGCUUAAGAUUUAUUACAAACUUGGUCCAGAGCCUAAUUUCUGUUCAUAAAACCCUGUCAUUCUUGGAUGAACUAUGCUGUUUUAGGGCCAAGAUUGUAAUGAAACACUGGCUUGGCAGUUCCCAAUGGUGGGAUUUAGGAAAUCUAAGAGAUGCUGUCUUCAACAGUGAACAAAGAGGUUUAGAUCACCCGGCACCACUGGCUCUGGGCUGUCGGUGGAGUUAGCCUCCUUUUGUCCACGAUGCUCACACUUCCAAGCCUGGAUCCUCACAUCUAUUGAACAACUCAUCUUGAGAUGGGUCCCAUGCCCUUAUUUCAGAUCUUUUGAAAUUAAGUGGAAAGGAAGUAAUCAUCUUCCUUCCUUAUCCUGCUGCCUUGGAACAGUUUUUCACCUCACAGCAGCAAAUGUGUCGCAGCCACUUACUUCAUUCAUCUCCAGAUGCGUCCCUUUAUCUAUAAAUGUGUUACUGUAACAUUUUCUAGACCAUAAAUGGCUGAAGACAUCAGACAGAGCUGGCAUAGAAUGUAACAAAGAGUAGGGAUUUUGCUUUAUUCAACUUUAUAUGUUCUGUAGGUGUCAGUACAUAGAGGGUACUAAAUAGCAGGUGGAUGAAGUAAUGCAAUAAUGAAUUUGCUACUGAUUUUUCACCUGGAAAGACAUUAAGGUGCUUUACACAGUCUCCACCAUCUUUUAGGGUUUUAAAGUUUGUGCUUGUAUUUCAAAAAAGAAAUCAUAAAUAAAAGAAACAACUUGGACUUUAGACAAAGCCAGAAAAACUCAGCUCUGAAAUGAGUAGUGGCAACAACCCAGCCAUUGAUUUCUUUAUCUGGAAAUUUACAGGAAUGAUGAGUUGCUGCUUCCAUAAUGAUUGCAAAUUGCUGUUUCUCAGUCACUUAGCUUAGACAAGCUAGUAUUUUCUCUAACCCCAAACCAUGGUGGUCAGAGCCACAAAACAAUAUAUUGCAACAAGAAGGGUAUGCCACACAAUAUUCCUUAAAGUGUGUUCCACCUAGCAGCAUCUCUGGGACCUAUCAGGGUCAGAGUGUUCAGUGGUCAAGUGAAUUUAGUUCACAUCACAUAUUAUAAAUACCCCCAUCUUGGACAUGUACGAUGAUGCACUGUUGCAUAUUACGGAGUCUGAGAAGUUGACCUACUAAAGAGAUUUGAUCACAGAAUCCCAUUUUCAAAUAAUGUCUAUUAUCUUUGGACAGAAGCUACUUUAAGAAAACACUGCUCUGCCCUGAAAGUCAUCAAUACCAUUU
rnacentral:lncRNA from 1 species